rnacentral:rRNA from 1 species
UCCCGUUGAUCCUGCGGGAGGUCGCUGCUAUGGGGGUUCGACUAAGCCAUGCAAGUCUUCUAGCAAUAGAGGCGAAAUGCUCAGUAACACGUCGAUAAUCUGCCCUUAGGUCAGGGAUAACCACGGGAAACUGUGGCUAAAACCUGAUAGGAGAAUUCUUCUGGAAUGAUGUUUCUCUUAAACUCGUGCCUAAGGAUGAGUUGGCGGCCGAUUAGGUUGUUGGUGGGGUAAAGGCCCACCAAGCCUACGAUCGGUAGGGGCCUUGAGAGAGGUAGCCCCGAGAAGGGCACUGAGAUACUGGCCCUAGCCCCACGGGGUGCAGCAGGCGCGAAACCUUUACAAUGCACGCAAGUGUGAUAGGGGGACCCCAAGUGCUUAUGCUUUGCAUAGGCUUUUGCCAAAGACAAAUACUUUGGCGAAUAAGUGGUGGGUAAGACUGGUGCCAGCCGCCGCGGUAACACCAGCGCCACGAGUGGUGACCAUAGUUAUUGGGCCUAAAGCGUCCGUAGCCGGUCUGAUAAAUCUUUUGUGAAAUCGUUGUGCUUAACAUAACGGCGCGCAGAAGAGACUGUCAGACUAGGAACCGGGAGGAGUCAGAGGUAUUCCAGGGGGAGCGGUAAAAUGUUAUAAUCCCUGGAGGACCACCUGUGGCGAAGCGUCUGACUAUAACGGUUUCGACGGUGAGGGACGAAAGCCAGGGGAGCAAUCCGGAUUAGAUACCCGAGUAGUCCUGGCUGUAAACGCUGCGAGCAAGGUGUUGCACAUUCUUCGGGAAUGUGCAGUGUCGAAGCGAAGGCGCUAAGCUCGCCGCCUGGGAAGUAUGGUCGCAAGACUGAAACUUAAAGGAAUUGGCGGGGGAGCACUACAAGGGGUGCGGCGUGCGGUUUAAUCCAAUUCCACGCGGAGAAUCUCACCAGGGGCGACGGCAGGAUGAAGGUCAGUCUAAAGGGCUUACCUAACGAGCCGAGAGGUAGUGCAUGGCCGCCGUCAGCUCGUGCCGUAAGGUGUCCUGUUAAGUCAGGCAACGAGCGAGACCUGUACCUAUAAUUGCUAGCGGCAGAUUUUCUGGACCGAGCACAUUAUGGGAACUGCCUUGGAAACAAGGAGGAAGGUGCAGGCAACGGUAGGUCUGUAUGCUCCGAAUCCUCUGGGCUACACGCGCGCAACAAUGGCAGAGACAAUAGGAUACAACUCCGAAAGGAGAAGUUAAACCUCGAAACUCUGUCCAAGUUCAGAUUGAGGGCUGUAACUCGCCCUCAUGACGUUGGAAUCCCUAGUAAUCAGGUGUUAUCAUCGCCUGGUGAAUGUGUCCCUGCUCCUUGCACACACCGCCCGUCAAACCACCCGAGUAGGGUUUAGGUGAGGCCUUAUUUUGAAUAAGUUCGAACCUAAGCUUUGCGAGGAGGGUUAAGUCGUCACAAGGUA